UGUUGCUGCCCUCCUUGGGCGUUUCCUCCCUAGACUUAGGCCACUCGCUUGCGAGUGGCCUUUUUUCUUGCCCGCA
rnacentral:sRNA from 1 species